rnacentral:rRNA from 1 species
UUGGAGGGCAAGUCUGGUGCCAGCAGCCGCGGUAAUUCCAGCUCCAAUAGCGUAUAUUAAAGUUGUUGCAGUUAGAAAGCUCGUAGUUGAAUUUCGGGAUCAGCAGGUUGGUCGUACCAAUGGUAUGAACUGGCCUUGCUGAUUCCUCCCUCUUGAUGAGCCGUAAUGCCAUUAAUUUGGUGUUGCGGGGAAUCAGGACUGUUACUUUGAAAAAAUUAGAAUGUUUAAAACAGGCAAGCGCUUGAAUACAUUAGCAUGGAAUAAUGAAAUAGGACGUUUGAUCCUAUUUUGUUGGUUUCUAGGAUUGACGUAAUGAUUAAUAGGGAUAGUUGGGAACAUUAGUAUUCAAUUGUCAGAGGUGAAAUUCUUGAAUUUAUUGAAGACUGACUACUGCGAAAACAUUUGCCAAAAAUAUUUUCAUUAAUCAAGAACGAAAGUUAGGGGAUCGAAGACGAUCAGAUACCGUCGUAGUCUUAACCAUAAACUAUGCCGACUAGGGAUCGGAUGAUGUUAAUUUUUUAAUGACUCAUUCGGCGCCUUACGGGAAAC